rnacentral:lncRNA from 1 species
AAGACGCGGCGUUUCCCGUCGAUGACAAUCGCUCGGUGAUCGUACGUGACGGUGGAUGCAAACGACGUCGUUACUAUUACCAAACAAAUAAGCAACACCAGAAUCUCUGUUCUUCUCCUCAUUUCUGGUAACUUACAAAAACACAGCCACACACGUAAAGUUCCUCCCUUUUUUUUCUCUUUAUCAAAAGAAAAAUGUAGCUUCUUGAUUGUAACAAUUCUAUUGCUUUUGCCUUUGGGUUGAUGCCUUUUUCCACUUUUCUUCCCUUUCUUCUGAUAAUAUUUGUUGCUUGGCCGCUUUGUGUAACAAAAUCAACACUUUAAGCUACCAGAGAACAGCAGUGCACGUCACUGCUAUUUCACCAUUUUAUCAUCAUCAUCUUCUUGUUGUUGUUUAAUUAUUAAUAAUAUACUCUCUCUUUUUGUUGUUUUGUUUUUUAAAUGACAAUAAUGGCGUUUUUAUAAGCCUUUUGCUGCAGUGGGGAGCAGUAAUAGUAGUAAAAGCCAGCCAGUAGCUACGGGCAGUGAAGAAGAAGUGAAUGAAGUACUGGAGAAAGAUAUUAUCAAGUGCUGCUUCAUCAUAUGGCAAGGAUAAUGCACCUGCAUUUCUCUUCG